GAUGCAUUAGGCUGCUGCAAAAGUAAUUGCGGUUUUUGCGAUUAAGAGUAAUCACACAAAUCGCAAUUACUUUUGCAGAAACCUAAUAAAUUU
ensembl:miRNA